rnacentral:rRNA from 1 species
GCGUUAAUCGGAAUUACUGGGCGUAAAGCGCACGCAGGCGGUCUGUCAAGUCGGAUGUGAAAUCCCCGGGCUCAACCUGGGAACUGCAUUCGAAACUGGCAGGCUGGAGUCUUGUAGAGGGGGGUAGAAUUCCAGGUGUAGCGGUGAAAUGCGUAGAGAUCUGGAGGAAUACCGGUGGCGAAGGCGGCCCCCUGGACAAAGACUGACGCUCAGGUGCGAAAGCGUG